CUUUAUCUUAGUUGGGGGUUGUAUGCAGCGUAGGAUGACAUUGGAAGCUGAUCACAGAUGGUGAGAAGGGCAGAAGAUUUUCGCGGGAAGGAAACUUCAACGCGCAACUUCAGGAAGUGGUUGCUUACUGUACCAAGUUGAAUGACCAUGUGUGUGCCUGUGUGUUGACAGUAAAUCUGUUAGGUGCAUUGCGUCAUAGGCGACUAGUGACAAGAGACAUGCCACGACAUGGCUGCCGUGCACAAGAUGGCCGCACACAGUCUGCGUUGUGAUACGACGCCAGAUUAAGACAACAGACUGGCGUCGGGCUCGUGGCUUUUGAACUAUGGUGGGGAGGAAGUGAUUUUGGUUUCAAAUUCGACUGUAAACCAGCAAAGGAACCGCAUUUUGACCUUACCGGUAACCUGGUAUUCCCUCAACGCUGUUUGCUACAUAUUGCGUGUUACUGCAGUAGUGUUGCCAGUUUUCAAGCCGGACUUCGAACCUGAUACCUUCGAAUGCAGAGCAGAAGUGUUGAACGUCACACCGUCAGCGUCUUUAUUGGUGCGAGCAGAGGAAAUCGGGACUCGUCAGGGCGGGAAUUGGUUGUUCAGAGCCAAGAGGGAGGUGAUUAAUUCGGCCGCAGCUGUCGCCACUGUUCUUGGUUCCACAUAAAUGCAUUCCUGAGUGAACAGGGCUGUCGUCGAAUACAGGGCACGUCCUACUACCGCGGUUAAUAGUAAGAGCAAUUGUCCUGAAGAAAGCAGAAUUUUACACAGCGCCGCUCUCCUGAAUGUUAUCGUAACAUUCAGUCCGUACCGCAAAGAAAACACCACGUGCCCUUGACAACGAUAAAUUGGUCCGUGAUAUUCAAGAAGGUUUUAAAGUGCGCCAUUCGCUAGCUACUUCAGUUUGGUUCUGCUUUCUUCCGUUGUUUACUUCAUGUGCAAAGAAGUGCGAGGCCUGCGAGUUGCAUAUCAAUUGCCGGCCCACUGUAAACAAGCGACGGGCAAUCCAUCAGCCAGAGCACCGGAAGGGGCAAAUCUCAAGACACUCCAGAACUUCGUGGCGUGCGGUUGAUACCUGGGUCAUACUUUGUGCCUUUUUGGCUCUGGGCAGUCUGAGACCUCAACAGUUUCGGAUGAUGAUGUGGGUGGGGAAUGUAGCACGAAUGGGGAGUUGACAAAGGCGUACAAGGAAAAAAGUUUACAAAGCCUG